GAUACUUGUGUAUUUAAUUAUCUGUAAAGCAGAUUUAAUUUCUUAUACAACCAGUAACAUUCAUUCCAUUUAUUUCAGUAUGUUACGUUCACUGGACUUUUUUACUCCCUAAUGAAUUCUGUCCUUCAUUUUUUUGUUAUUUUUGUUUUUAAUUUUCUAACUUGGUGUCACGAAUCGGGAACGGAGUCGGAAGCAAUUGCGGUUAAGAGCUUUAUUAAAGAGAGAUAUGCAGAUAAAUACAAAUCGUAAAACAUAGACGUAAUCAGAAACAGUCACCGGGUCGGGCGAUCGUCAAACAGGCAUAAACGGGGUGAGGCAGAAAUCGAAGUCGCGGUCACUGGAAACGGGUUCAAAACAGGAAACAGGAAACAUGAAACUAUGACUGGGAACUGGGAGCGGAAAACACCAGUGUGGUCUAAGAGAACUAAUCUAACGUUAAACUAAAUUAAUCUAUCGAGGUACGUAACGCUAACUAUCUACUAUCGAACUAUAAUACUCCGUGAAGUGUACUGGGAGGCGAGGGGUAUAUAUCCCGAACAUAAUCAGUGUUAAGUGCUGACAGCUGAAAACAAUGAAGACACACCCUCGAACAACAACCAAUGACAGAACAGGGAGGAGACAGAACAGAAACAAAACAAAACGCACAUGUCCACAGUAAACAAUGUCACAGUUAUCAACAUUCGCUCCGGCUCUCCAAGCGCGCUGCAAGCUGCAGCUCUGUCUAAAGGGGAGAUCGUGACACUUGGUUAAUUAUAAUACAUGGCCAAACUUAUGUGGCCGGACCAUUACACCCAUAUGUGGUUCUGACUUUAAAUUAGUGUGGAGCUGCAGCAUCCCAACCAUUGAAGAGCAGCAGCAGAAAACCACGCCACUCACUUCAGACUGUAAUGGAAGUUCGCAUCAGUGCAGUUUUGAGUGUGUAAUGGGAGUGUAAUAUUGUAGUAACAUGCUUUCCGUAUCCACAAAUAACACAACACACCAGUUACUAGUAACUAGUACAGUAAUGGUUAAAAGUUGGUAUUUAUUUCUAGUUCUUACUAAAUAUUAAUUUAUAAUCAUUAUAAUAAUAUUUAUAGAAAAACUUUAUAUUAAAAAUGUUAAUUUUGGAAGCACUGGUGUAAUAAGCAGAUGUUUUGGCUGUAAGAGACUAAAAUGGUGUAAAGUUUAAAAAGUACACUAUAAUGUCUAAUUGUUUGAUAUUACUCAACGUUAAAUGAUAUUCAUAUUAUGAUAUUUUAACUGGAAAAGUUACAUUUAUGGGUAAUUUUAAUAUGGUAAUAUGUCACUGCUACAGUUACUGAUUAUUAUUGAGUACACAUUAGAAAAUUGAUGUGUUGAAGUACAAACCAGUUUUACCAUCCCAUUACCUACUUAUUACUUAUUAUUUAAAACAACAACAAAAAAACAUGUUUAACCUUAUAAUCUUAUAAUUCUGGUAUCCCUGUAGCAUUAUUUACUCAAAACAUGAAACACUGGGUUAUUAACAAUUAAUAAUUAUGAGAGCAUCUGUAAUAGCACUCUAGUUAUUUCAUGAUAACAGAUGUUAAGUGUUCAUUUUGUUACAGUAGAGAAAAAUAUUUUUGCUUAUAAAUAAAACAUCCGUAUUUCAUUAUUGGAAAAAUGGACAAAAUGUGAUGUGUAAUGUUUAACUGUGUUGUGAUUUCAUAAAUGUGAUUAUACAGUACAUAAAGACAUUUGUUGAAUAAGUCAUAUAAUUGUGAUUAUAGGUGGGGAGACUGUUAGGAUAAACAACAGCUGUAGUAGUUUUUGCUCGACCUGUAUUUUAUAACACAAUUGUUCAUCUGAUCUUUCUUUCCUUUAUCCGGGGUUUGGACAGGAGUAGGAGUAGGAGUAACUGGGACUAUUGCAGUGAUUGCAGUGAUUGCAGUGAUUGUUGCUGUGCUGUACUGGUGUAAAAGAAGAAGAAAGCAAAACUGCAGAAACCCUGAUCCUCCACACACCUACUCGCUGCCUAAUACACAAAUAAAUCCUGCAAACACAAGUCCAGG